ensembl:lncRNA
CGUCAGCAACAUUUCUACCUGACCUUACACCGAAAGGACGUCACACCCACACAGACCUGGGCUAUCCCCGCCUCAAUCCCCAGCCAAUUUCCUUAGCCAUCAGCCUCUUCUACCAUUCUGUAUGAAGUUGGUAGGUUUAUUGAUAUUUUAUUUUUAUUUUUAUCAUGUUCUUUUUUUUUCUUUUUUUCUAUCUGGCUUUCUGUCUUUAUCUCUUCCCAAACCACUCAUCCAUUUGCUUUCUGAGGUUCUUUUGUUGUUCUGUUUUGUUCGAGGAUUAGUGUGGUCUGAGAAAACUGGACAAAGACUGUACUGUAAGGGGUAAUUUUGGACACCUGAUUGAUCAGCAAACACAGCGUCAAUUCAUUUCAACUUUGAUACCCUCUUUUUGACAAAGAGAUCUAUUGAGGGCACUUUUCAUUAAAUGGUGAAGUUUUUAAACAAAGGCCUGUUGUAGAGACUCUUAAAGGCAGGUUUAGAUAAUGAUCUAAGGAACAUUAAUAGACCAUUAACGGCGCCACUGUUUACCCAACACCAUUGACAAGAGGAGAGUACAGGGGUUAAUAUACUAUAACCGGAAACCUCUGCAACAAUUUUCACCACUUCUACAUAAUUUAUAUGCUGUUACUUGCUGCUGAAAAUAUGUAGGUGUAUACAUAUGUCUACCCAACACGUUUUCUUCCAUGCCUUCUGCUAAUGAUUGACAGCUCAAGUAAUUAAUUUAAACAUAUAAAUGCAAAGAAGUGAUACAGGUGCUUAAAUAUUUUGUUUGCAGUAUUAUGUAGUAUUCAGUCAUAGCUAUCAUUAUUGAAAAUACAUGAGAAAUGUUUAUAAUGAAAAUCUAUACUUUUUUCAACCAACAACGUACAAAAAUUAAUAGGCUUGUACUAACUAAGUUUUGUAUUCAUGAUAAAAACACAGAACGUUUUCUACCUCUUUUUCACACGAGCGCUUACCUGUGCAGUAUGAAAGAACAGACAGAAGCAUGGAGAGGGGAAGAGUGGUCCUCAUGACUCUGGUACGCCACUACACUGACUGCUCAAGGUGAGAGGAGAGCACCUGAGAGGCAGCGACAGGGAGGGAGGAGAGGAGAGGAGGGAGAGGUAGUGU